UACGUAGGGUGCGAGCGUUGUCCGGAAUUAUUGGGCGUAAAGAGCUCGUAGGCGGUUUGUCGCGUCUGCUGUGAAAACCCGAGGCUCAACCUCGGGCCUGCAGUGGGUACGGGCAGACUAGAGUGCGGUAGGGGAGAUUGGAAUUCCUGAUGUAGCGGUGAAAUGCGCAGAUAUCAGGAGGAACACCGAUGGCGAAGGCAGGUCUCUGGGCAUUAACUGACGCUGAGGAGCGAAAGCAUGGGGAGCGAACAGG
rnacentral:rRNA from 1 species